AACGAACGCUGGCGGCAUGCCUAACACAUGCAAGUCGAACGCCCCGCAAGGGGAGUGGCGAACGGGUGAGUAACGCGUGGGAACCUACCCAGCAGUUGGGGAUAACCGCGGGAAACUGCGGCUAAUACCGAAUACGUCCUAAGGGAGAAAGAUUUAUCGCUGUUGGAGGGGCCCGCGUCGGAUUAGCUAGUUGGUGAGGUAACGGCUCACCAAGGCGACGAUCCGUAGCUGGUCUGAGAGGAUGAUCAGCCACACUGGGACUUAGACACGGCCCAGACUCCUACGGGAGGCAGCAGUGGGGAAUAUUGGACAAUGGGGGCAACCCUGAUCCAGCAAUGCCGCGUGAGUGAUGAAGGCCUUAGGGUUGUAAAGCUCUUUUACCGGGGACGAUGAUGACGGUACCCGGAGAAUAAGCCCCGGCUAACUUCGUGCCAGCAGCCGCCGUAAGAC
rnacentral:rRNA from 1 species